UUACAGGCGUGAGCCACCGUGCCGGGCCUUGGUGAUUAUUUUCUAUCAGGAUGCUGGGGAGAUGAGCAAUGGAUGAUUUUGGCUUCCUCUGAAUAACUCCUGAGAGGGCAUGUGUAGUUCCUCUGUGGGAGGACAUUGUCACCUGUGUCAACAGAUUUGAGGCUUUAGCUAAACUUGUGGGAGGUUAUAAACUCCAUGGAAGUUCCCUAAUAGUGUCCCAUAACUGACCAUUGUCUUGAUACACACUGGGUUCAUAGGAAAGAUACGGCAUGUGGAAGACACUGUGCAUGAGGUGAAUGAGUUCUUCCAGCUCUCUUCUCCAGCCCUGGAGCUCCAGAAAGAGGAGGAUGAGCCAGACCCACUGCCCCCAGGUGAAGGCAGCACAUUUGUGGUGGCUCCCAGCAUCUCCCCUUGUGAGUGGCAGGAAGAUAAACUUCACCCACUGGAGAAAAGUGGCCCAGAUGGAGAAAAGCUGGGACCCUGGGCCCUGAAGAGCCACUGGGCCCUGGAGCUGCAGGUGAGGAGAGUCCACCUCGCUCAGAGGAUUGAAGACCUGGAGUGGGAGCUGUCCCUGCUCCAUGAGGCGGCCAACAGCAGUUCGAGCAUAGGAGGGAGCUGGCCCAGCUGACACAGCAGCCUAAGGGGCACUGAGUCACAUCAGAUGCUGCAUGGUGGCCACCUCCGGGAGGUGCCUUCUCACUGAGAACAUGAACGGGCUCCCCUGGUAGGAAGGAGUGGGCAUCUGGGGCCCGGAGCGUGUGCUGGUUUUACGACGUGCUCCUACAGGGAGACACCUGGAUUUCUUUCAGAGCCUGGACCUCAGCUUGUGCUCAAUUCUGCCUUGAACUUUCUGGGGUGAGGGAAAAUAAACUGACAUGGGUUGACAAAA